UACGUAGGCAGCAAGCGUUGUUCGGAAUUACUGGGCGUAAAGGGUGCGUAGGCGGCGCGGUAAGUCGGGUGUGAAAUCUCGGAGCUUAACUCCGAAACUGCAUUCGAUACUGCCGUGCUUGAGGACUGGAGAGGAGACUGGAAUUUACGGUGUAGCGGUGAAAUGCGUAGAUAUCGUAAGGAAGACCAGUGGCGAAGGCGGGUCUCUGGACAGUUCCUGACGCUGAGGCACGAAGGUCAGGGGAGCAAACGGG
rnacentral:rRNA from 1 species